rnacentral:rRNA from 1 species
CCUACGGGUGGCAGCAGUGGGGAAUAUUGGGCAAUGGGCGCAAGCCUGACCCAGCCACGCCGCGUGAAGGAAGAAGGCUUUCGGGUUUUAAACUUCUUUUCUCAGGGACGAAAAAAGUGACGGUACCUGAGGAAUAAGCCACGGCUAACUACGUGCCAGCGGCCGCGGUAAUACGUAGGUGGCAAGCGUUAUCCGGAUUUAUUGGGUGUAAAGGGCGUGUAGGCGGGAGCGUAAGUCAGAUGUGAAAACUAAGGGCUCAACCCUGAGCCUGCAUUUGAAACUGGGUUUCUUGAGUGCUGGAGAGGUAAGCGGAAUUCGGUGUGUAGCGGUGAAAUGCGUAGAUAUAAGGAGGAACACCAGUGGCGAAGGCGGACUGCUGGACAGUAACUGACGCUGAGGCGCGAAAGUGUGGGGAGCAAACAGGAUUAGAUACCCCAGUAGUC